rnacentral:rRNA from 1 species
UACGAAGGGGGCUAGCGUUGCUCGGAAUCACUGGGCGUAAAGGGUGCGUAGGCGGGUCUUUAAGUCAGGGUGAAAUCCUGGAGCUCAACUCCAGAACUGCCUUUGAUACUGAGGAUCUUGAGUCCGGGAGAGGUGAGUGGAACUGCGAGUGUAGAGGUGAAAUUCGUAGAUAUUCGCAAGAACACCAGUGGCGAAGGCGGCUCACUGGCCCGGUACUGACGCUGAGGCACGAAAGCGUGGGAGCAAACAGG